GCAUAUCAAUAAGCGGAGGAAAAGAAACUAACAAGGAUUCCCCUAGUAACUGCGAGUGAAGCGGGAAAAGCUCAAAUUUGAAAUCUGGCAGUUUCUUAACUGUCCGAGUUGUAAUCUAGAGAAGUGUUACCUGUGCUGGACCGUGUACAAGUCUCCUGGAAUGGAGCAUCAUAGAGGGUGAGAAUCCCGUCUUUGACACGGACUACCUGUACAUUAUGGUGUGCUCUCAAAGAGUCGAGUUGUUUGGGAAUGCAGCUCAAAAUGGGUGGUAAAUGCCAUCUAAAGCUAAAUAUUGGCGAGAGACCGAUAGCGAACAAGUACCGUGAGGGAAAGAUGAAAAGAACUUUGGAAAGAGAGUUAAACAGUACGUGAAAUUGCUGAAAGGGAAACGCUUGAAGUCAGUCACAUUGGCUAGAAAUCAGCUUUGCUUUUGCUUGGUGUACUUUCUGGUUGAUGGGUCAGCAUCAAUUUUGACCAUUGGAUAAAGUCUUUGGGAAUGUGGCAUCCUUGGAUGUGUUAUAGCCCAUUGUCGYAUACAGUGGUCGGGAUUGAGGAACUCAGCAUGCCGCAAGGCCAGGUUUCGACCAUGUUCGUGCUUAGGAUGCUGGCAUAAUGGCUUUAAUCGACCCGUCUUGAAACACGGACCAAGGAGUCUAACAUGCCUGCGAGUGUUUGGGUGGAAAACCCAUGCGCGUAAUGAAAGUGAAAGUUGAGAUCCCUGAAAGGGGAGCAUUGACGCCCGGACCAGACCUUUUGUGACGGAUCCGCGGUAGAGCAUGUAUGUUGGGACCCGAAAGAUGGUGAACUAUGCCUGAAUAGGGUGAAGCCAGAGGAAACUCUGGUGGAGGCUCGUAGCGAUUCUGACGUGCAAAUCGAUCGUCAAAUUUGGGUAUAGGGGCGAAAGACUAAUCGAACCAUCUAGUAG
rnacentral:rRNA from 1 species